rnacentral:tRNA from 1 species
GCUGGUUAAGUGACCGACUCCUGAUCUCAACUCAGGUCUCGAUCUCAGGUUCGUGGGUUCGAGUCCCACAUCCAGCU